UUAGUGGCGACGGGUGAGUAACACGUGGGUGAUCUGCCCUGCACUUUGGGAUAAGCCUGGGAAACUGGGUCUAAUACCGGAUAGGACUACGCACUGCAUGGUGUGUGGUGGAAAGCUUUUGCGGUGUGGGAUGGGCCCGCGGCCUAUCAGCUUGUUGGUGGGGUGAUGGCCUACCAAGGCGACGACGGGUAGCCGGCCUGAGAGGGUGACCGGCCACACUGGGACUGAGAUACGGCCCAGACUCCUACGGGAGGCAGCAGUGGGGAAUAUUGCACAAUGGGCGCAAGCCUGAUGCAGCGACGCCGCGUGAGGGAUGACGGCCUUCGGGUUGUAAACCUCUUUCGCCAGGGACGAAGCGCAAGUGACGGUACCUGGAGAAGAAGGACCGGCCAACUACGUGCCAGCAGCCGCGGUAAUACGUAGGGUCCGAGCGUUGUCCGGAAUUACUGGGCGUAAAGAGCUCGUAGGUGGUUUGUCGCGUUGUUCGUGAAAACUCACAGCUUAACUGUGGGCGUGCGGGCGAUACGGGCAGACUGGAGUACUGCAGGGGAGAC
rnacentral:rRNA from 1 species